rnacentral:rRNA from 1 species
CCCAGACUCCUACGGGAGGCAGCAGUGGGGGAUAUAGCACAAUGGGGGAAACCCUGAUGCAGCGACGCCGCGUGGGCGAAGAAGUAUUUCGGUAUGUAAAGCCCUAUCAGCAGGGAAGAAGAAAUGACGGUACCUGAGUAAGAAGCACCGGCUAAAUACGUGCCAGCAGCCGCGGUAAUACGUAGGGGGCAAGCGUUAUCCGGAUUUACUGGGUGUAAAGGGAGCGUAGACGGUCCUGCAAGCCAGAUGUGAAAGCCCGGGGCUCAACCCCGGGACUGCAUUUGGAACUGUAAGGCUAGAGUGUCGGAGAGGCAGGCGGAAUUCCUAGUGUAGCGGUGAAAUGCGUAGAUAUUAGGAGGAACACCAGUGGCGAAGGCGGCCUGCUGGACGAUGACUGACGUUGAGGCUCGAAAGCGUGGGGAGCAAACAGGAUUAGAUACCCGGGUA